AGUAGGGAAUAUUAGAAAUGGACGAAAGUCUGAUCUAGCAACACCGCGUGUGCGAAGAAGGCCUUCGGGUUGUAAAGCACUUUUUGGAAGGAUUAGGAAGGAAUGUACUUCCAGAAUAAGUCUCGGCUAACUACGUGCCAGCAGCCGCGGUAACACGUAGGAGGCAAACGUUAUCCGGAUUUACUGGGCGUAAAGCGCGUGUAGGUGGUUCUGUAAGUAGGGCGUGAAAGCUCCUGGCUCAACUGGGAGAGGCCGUUCUAAACUGCAGAGCUAGAGGAUGGUAGAGGGAGGUGGAAUUCCGGGUGUAGCGGUGGAAUGCGCAGAUAUCCGGAGGAACACCAGUGGCGAAAGCGGCCUCCUGGACCAUUCCUGACACUCAGACGCGAAAGCUAGGGUAGCAAACGGGAUUAGAGACCCCGGUAGUCCUAGCCCUAAACGAUGUAGACUUGGCGUCGGUGGCUUAAUCGUCAUCGGUGUCGUAGCUAACGCGAUAAGUCUACCGCCU
rnacentral:rRNA from 1 species